rnacentral:lncRNA from 1 species
GACCAUAUGAAAGGAAUUCAGGCUAUCUCUGGAGCUGAGCACAACCCCCAGGUCACAUCCAACAAAGAAACAGGGACCUCAGUCCUAUAAACACCACCAACAGAAUGAACUUGGAAGCAGAUUUUCCCCCAGAGCAUCCAGAUAAGAACUCAGUCCACUCAACAUCUUCAGCUUUGUGAUAUUCCAGGCAUAUUGUGCUGAACUUCUGACUUACAGAACUAAUCCAGAAAGCCUGGAAGAUACUUUUCCAAGAAUUUAUUUUCUGUUUAGAUUCUACCCCUGAAAGUCAGUCCUGAAAGGAUUAUAAAAGCAAGAAAGAAACAUGGACUCUAAGAAUUAACAACAGUGUGGGAAGCCACGGAGGAGAUUUAUGACUACCCUAAAUUGGUUUGUGUUUGGAUGGAUGACUAUUUCCUGCUCUUUAUUACUAGAAAUUGGCAGCAACAUCUCAGAUUGGAUAAUGGUACUGGUGGAAUAAUUACCAGAAAGAAAAAAACAUCCCCACUAAAGUGAUGAAAACAUGUACAGAUUGUCCAACCUUUUGCUUUUGUACCACUUCCCCUUCCAGAUGUCAGGGUUGUGAUUUAUUUCUCCCUAAGAGUUUAAAAAUAAAACUCUCAUCAUAAAAUUUGCCUGAUACUGAUGAAAAAUAAGAUGUAGUAAUUUAGGCUUUCAGACUAGACUCAGAAAUAGAAUCCAUUAAUAUUUUUUUACUAGGGAUCCAUUUAAAAACAUCUAAACAUGAUGAAAAUGAAAGAAUGGAGAGAAAUAUGCCAGGUAAAUAUAAACUUAAAAGAAAGCUGGGGAAACUAUCAAUAUCUGACAAAAAUAGAUUUUCAUGUAAAAAAAUGUGGCACAC